rnacentral:lncRNA from 1 species
UUUUGAUGUUGUUGGUUGUUUAGGUUGAAUUUUCUGGUUGUUAUGUUGGCACCACAUGUGUGUGUUUGACUCUUAUUUUCUCCUCGUUUUUUUUAAAGAACUUAUGGAUGAAUUUGGAAUGACGAUGCCUUGCCUUGAUCUUAUCCUGGAUUUGUGUGUAUGCUUGGCUAUUGCUUGUGUGCGUGCUGUUUUGGUCAUGGUUCUUGCAGGGAGCUUGAAUUGACACAUUCAGACAAAAAGGGGGAGAAUGUAAGAUCCAAGUU